AUGAGAGGGCACCCUACUGCUAGAUCCCCUCAGGCUAUGUGUGAUAGAUGCAAGAACAGAGGGCAUCUUGCUGUGAUUUGCACCGAGUUUCUGCCAUGGGAGCAUGUCCCUGUGAUGUGUGCAUUUCAGAGCAAGGGGCAAAGAUUUUUCUAUAUUCCUGAUUUUAGCAUUGAUAGGCAAACUAGGGAGAGGAUCUAUAAUGUGGUGGUAACUAUUGUGGAGGGGUCAGCCCAAACCAAAGACAUCAAGCACGAAUUGAGUGUCUAUGUGGGUCAAGGGUGGAGGUGUUCUGCUAGGUUUUUUGCUCCUCAUAAGUUUGUGAUGAGAAUGCCUAAUCCUAGAGAGGUUGAUCGUGCUCUAUUUGUUGAACAUGUCAGACUUAAGAAAUGUGGUGUAGCUGUUAAAUUUUCUCCCUGGUCCGAGGAUAUUGACUCUGAGGGGCUCCUGGAAAUUGCUUGGGUUAGGAUUGGGAGAAUUCCCCCUAACAAGAGGUGUGAUAAAACUGCUGCUUAUGCGCGGGGGGGGGGGGGGUCUUGUGGGCAUAACCCUGGAGGUGGACAUGUCUACCAUAAAUCGCCCAUCCUCGGUUAG
rnacentral:rRNA from 1 species